GGACGAACGCUGGCGGCGUGCCUAAUCCAUGCAAGUCGAACGAGAGCGACCGGUGCUUGCCCUGGUCAAUCUAGUGGCGAACGGGUGAGUAACACGUGGGUAACCUGCCCAUCAGAGGGGGAUAACAUCCGGAAACGGAUGCUAAAACCGCAUAGGUCUUCGAACCGCAUGGUUUGAAGAGGAAAAGAGGCGCAAGCUUCUGCUGAUGGAUGGACCCGCGGUGCAUUAGCUAGUUGGUGAGGUAACGGCUCACCAAGGCCGUGAUGCAUAGCCGACCUGAGAGGGUGAUCGGCCACAUUGGGACUGAGACACGGCCCAAACUCCUACGGGAGGCAGCAGUAGGGAAUCUUCCGCAAUGGACGCAAGUCUGACGGAGCAACGCCGCGUGAGUGAAGAAGGUUUUCGGAUCGUAAAACUCUGUUGUUAGAGAAGAACAAGUGCUAGAGUAACUGUUGGCGCCUUGACGGUAUCUAACCAGAAAGCCACGGCUAACUACGUG
rnacentral:rRNA from 1 species